AGCACAGGCAAGAGUAAGUAUCAACACAGUGAAAAAAAAAGUAUUUUCAGAGAAUACCGAAAGCACCUAUAAAGUUAAAAGGUGAAGAGAUGCAGAAAGACCACUGCUGGGCAUAGAAGCAUUGAAUACUGAACUGCCGAGCGUGAGUGUAUUCAUAGUUCAGGACUGUAUUUUCCAGUAGCAACGUGUUCUUCAUUUGGAGUUUUCACAAGCCACAGCCAUUAUAAAAUGGUAUGUUGCUUUCUUACCUAGGUUUUACCUUCUCACCUAAGCUUUCUUACCUACCUGCCACCACCCUUAUGUAGAAAAACAAACCGAUCUAACAAUACCAACAAACAUCUAGAAAGAACUCGAUCUUCCCAAACACUUUAUACCUUAUUUUAUCUGGAAACAGACAAGAAGAAGAUGGGGUUGAAAAAAAGCCAGGUAUUGUGUUUGGUUUGUGUUUUUUCUUCCUUGAGGGUGAUCCAGACAUGUAGCUUUGCCACCAAGAAGUUUUGUCUAAACUAGAAAAACUCCCAAUUUCAAAAUAACACUCAAGGUGAUACCCUACACGAAACUGUUACCGGGAAGUGAUAAUUAAUUCACUCUCUAAGACUCAAUUUUGGAGUUUUAGAAAGCAGGCAUUCUUGAUUACAGCACUGGACACACAGGGGAGAGCUCCUCCUAAUGCGUGUGUCCGAAAACAGAAUCAACAAGCAUUUAUACUACCUUAAUCAUACACAUUCAUUGCAUUUUUAUCCUAUUCCUAACUUUUCCAGGAAUGCAAUAGCGUAUGUUAAUGUCUGUUGGAGGCUUCUGGUGGUCGUCGGGGGUUCUUCAGGUGAAGGCUCGUAGUCUUCUUCACUGUCUCUGCCAGUUGACCCUGACUGCUGCCUGUGGUCACGUAGAUCUUGUCCCUCCAGGCUGGCCUGGUCUGGUUGUUAAUUUGCAGCUUCAUUACGUUUCUUUGCACCUGCUACUACAAGGCCAAACCGUCUCAAGAUCAUCUAUGAGUUCCUUAUCUUACAGUUAUUCUAUUUCUCAAACGGUUAGUAUUUGUUCUGCAGCACAGUGGUUAAAACAGCUCAAAUUGAUCCUAAUAAUUCCGUUCUACAAAUAUCUAUUUUCUAAUAAUCUUCGUUCACAGGUAUCAAAACAAGCUGCCACGUUUAUGCUAGGGAACUGAAGCCUAUCAUGGUUUUCAUACCUUGGUGGUGUGCGAGGCCAACACUGAAGGUUACUCUGGAAAAAACCCCCAACGCUCCCCCAACAAACAGAAAUAUGGAUUGGAAUGGGGGGAAGGGGGGUGGGCGUCGUACCUGGAGGUGGCACAAAGGGGUGACAAAGAACCGCGGUUCACGAGAGGAUUUGGGUGACCACCUGCCCGCUCCAUCAACCUCCCUGACCCCGCGUCCUUCAUUUUUACCCCCAAAUCCGGAGCGACUCUGGAGCCGGGGGGGGGGGGGGGGGGGAGCGGGUGUGUGUGUUACCGGUGCUACCGCGACCCCUUGUGUAAGUAACACUCUGAAUUCCUAACGGGAACGUUAGUACUUCAGGCAACCGCUUUUACCGGGUGCGCGCCGGGAAAGGCGGCGCCGAGGCCGUGAGGGGAAGCGGGCGGGAGGGGCCGAGACCCCGCGGCCUUGGGGUCCUCGGCCGCGGCGCGCCCGCCCGCCCUCAGGCCGGUAAUGGCGGCGGCCCGCCCGCCCUCAGGCCGGUAAUGGCGGCGCCUCGCCCUCCCGCCCUCAGGCCGGUAAUGGCGGCGGCCCUCCCGCCCUCAGGCCGGUAAUGGCGGCGGCCGGCCCGCCCGCCCUCAGGCCGGUAAUGGCGGCGCCUCGCCCUCCCGCCUCAGUGUCUCCCCCCGGAGCCCCUCACCCGGCUGGCUCCGCAGGCGGACAUCUUGUGGAAUGACCUGGUACACAGAGGGUGAGACGGUCCGGCUGUGGAAGGGGAAUUACGCUGGCUGGAAGCAGGAAUGCCAGGGAGGAGUUUCCUUUGGUGAGGAGAAAUGGAAAGCAACUUGAAUUUUCUUCAGGGAUCGAUGUGGUGCAAGUUACUGAAGCUACUGCCAUAAAAGAACAUUCGUAGUGCUGCAAGGACGAGGUGCCAGCUGGUGGUGAGAUCUGUGCGGGAGUGAAAAUUGGUGCCGGGUACCGGGGUGAGCACCGCUGGGCUGAGUGAGUGGAGUUCCAGUGCA